GCCGACUGGGGGGCGGGGGGGGGGUGAAGACGGAGGGGGCAGGGGGCGUCAGGAAUGGUUGGGCGUAGAGGGCUCGUAGGCGGCCUGUCGCGGCGGCUGGGAAACCCCGGGGCUCAACCCGGGGCCUGCAGUCGAUACGGGCAGGCUAGAGUUCGGCAGGGGAGACUGGAAUUCCUGGUGUAGCGGUGAAAUGCGCAGAUAUCAGGAGGAACACCGGUGGCGAAGGCGGGUCUCUGGGCCGAUACUGACGCUGAGGAGCGAAAGCGUGGGGAGCGAACAGGAUUAGAUACCCGUGUAGUC
rnacentral:rRNA from 1 species